UCCUUAUCAAGAGUGGUGGAGGGACUGGCCCUAUGAAGCCCGGCAACCGGCAGCAGCUAAUCCUGCUGUAAAGGUGCCAAAUCCUGCAGAAGUGUAUUACUUCUGACAGAUAAGGA
rnacentral:ncRNA from 23 species